AAUUUGAAAUGACUGAGCGGCGGACGGGUGAGUAACGCGGGGGUAACCUGCCUCAUACAGGGGGAUAACAGUUAGAAAUGACUGCUAAUACCGCAUAAGCACACAGUACCGCAUGGUACAGAGUGAAAAACUCCGGUGGUAUGAGAUGGACCCGCGUCUGAUUAGCUGGUUGGCGGGGUAACGGCCCACCAAGGCGACGAUCAGUAGCCGACCUGAGAGGGUGACCGGCCACAUUGGGACUGAGACACGGCCCAAACUCCUACGGGAGGCAGCAGUGGGGAAUAUUGCACAAUGGGGGAAACCCUGAUGCAGCAACGCCGCGUGUGUGAAGAAGUAUUUCGGUAUGUAAAGCUCUAUCAGCAGGGAAGAAAGUGACGGUACCUGACUAAGAAGCCCCGGCUAACUACGUGCCAGCAGCCGCGGUAAUACGUAGGGGGCAAGCGUUAUCCGGAUUUACUGGGUGUAAAGGGAGCGUAGACGGCACAGCAAGUCUGAAGUGAAAUCCCCGGGCUCAACCCGGGAACUGCUUUGGAAACUGUUGGGCUAGAGUGCUGGAGAGGCAAGCGGAAUUCCUAGUGUAGCGGUGAAAUGCGUAGAUAUUAGGAGGAACACCAGUGGCGAAGGCGGCUUGCUGGACAGUAACUGACGUUGAGGCUCGAAAGCGUGGGGAGCAAACAGGAUUAGAUACCCUGGUAGUCCACGCCGUAAACGAUGCAUACUAGGUGUCGGGGAGCAAAGCUUUCC
rnacentral:rRNA from 1 species